UGCCAGCCGCCGCGGUAAUACGUAGGGGGCGAGCGUUAUCCGGAUUUAUUGGGCAUAAAGCGCGCGUAGGCGGUAUUUUAAGUCAGAUGUUAAAGUCAUAGGCUCAACCUAUGGUCGCGUCUGAAACUGAAGUACUAGAGGUCAGUAGAGGGAAAUGGAACUCACGGUGUAGCGGUGAAAUGCGUAGAUAUCGUGAGGAACACCAGUUGCGAAGGCGAUUUCCUGGCCUGAUCCUGACACUGAGGUGCGAAAGCGUGGGGAGCGAACAGGAUUAGAUA
rnacentral:rRNA from 1 species